rnacentral:rRNA from 1 species
GACGAACGCUGGCGGCGUGCUUAACACAUGCAAGUCGAACGGAAAGGCCCUGCUUUUGUGGGGUGCUCGAGUGGCGAACGGGUGAGUAACACGUGAGUAACCUGCCCUUGACUUUGGGAUAACUUCAGGAAACUGGGGCUAAUACCGGAUAGGAGCUCCUGCUGCAUGGUGGGGGCUGGAAAGUUUCGGCGGUUGGGGAUGGACUCGCGGCUUAUCAGCUUGUUGGUGGGGCAGUGGCUUACCAAGGCUUUGACGGGUAGCCGGCCUGAGAGGGUGACCGGCCACAUUGGGACUGAGAUACGGCCCAGACUCCUACGGGAGGCAGCAGUGGGGAAUAUUGCACAAUGGGCGGAAGCCUGAUGCAGCAACGCCGCGUGCGGGAUGACGGCCUUCGGGUUGUAAACCGCUUUCGCCUGUGACGAAGCGUGAGUGACGGUAAUGGGUAAAGAAGCACCGGCUAACUACGU